rnacentral:rRNA from 1 species
AGGGUGUAAACGCUGCGGGCUUGGUGUUGGGGGUCCUUAGUGGGCGCCCAGUGCCGGAGAGAAGUUGUUAAGCCUGCUGCUUGGGGAGUAUGUCCGCAAGGAUGAAACUUAAAGGAAUUGGCGGGGGAGCACCACAACGGGUGGAGCCUGCGGUUUAAUUGGACUCAACGCCGGGAAGCUCACCGGAUAAGACAGCGGAAUGAUUGCCGGGCUGAAGACCCUGCAUGACCAGCUGAGAGGAGGUGCAUGGCGUAGACGUCU